GAUGAACGCUGGCGGCGUGCUUAACACAUGCAAGUCGAACGGUGAAGCUCCAGCUUGCUGGAGUGGAUCAGUGGCGAAAGGGUGAGUAACACGUGAGCAACCUGCCCCUGACUCUGGGAUAACAGCCGGAAACGGCUGCUAAUACCGGAUAUGCACCAUGAACGCAUGUUCUGUGGUGGGACAGAUUUAUCGGUUGGGGAUGGGCUCGCGGCCUAUCAGCUUGUUGGUGAGGUAAUGGCUCACCAAGGCGUCGACGGGUAGCCGGCCUGAGAGGGUGACCGGCCACACUGGGACUGAGACACGGCCCAGACUCCUACGGGAGGCAGCAGUGGGGAAUAUUGCACAAUGGGCGAAAGCCUGAUGCAGCAACGCCGCGUGAGGGAUGACGGCCUUCGGGUUGUAAACCUCUUUUAGCAGGGAAGAAGCGAGAGUGACGGUACCUGCAGAAAAAGCGCCGGCUAACUACGUG
rnacentral:rRNA from 1 species